rnacentral:ribozyme from 13 species
AUACCUGGAAAGAAAAAGUGAGAGAAAGAGAGAAAGAGAGAGAAAAAAGAGAUAAAGAUGAAGAAAGAGCUUCUUCAGUUCUGUAUUUCUUUCUUUCUCUUUUUUCCUCUGUCUCUUUCUUUCUCUUUCUCUUUCUUUCUC